UGUUACUUUCGUUAAUAGGUUUUGGAUUAUUAAAAUUUUUGAAAUUUAACGGAUUUGGCGGCAAGAUAGCCCAUUUAGAGGAACCUGCCCUAUAAACGAUGAACCACGAAUAACCUUACUUUUUUUAGUAAACAGUUUGUAUACCGCUGUUGUCAGUCAGUUUUAUUAGAAAACUUUCUUUAAUGAUUUAUUCAUUGACUUCAAGUAAAGGUGCAGCUCAUGAAAAAGUUAGAGGUGGGUUACAAUUCAUGGAGGAAAACGGAUGGUAAAAUGAAAAUUUUUGCUUGAAGGUGGAUUUAAUAGUAAAGUCAUUAUGGACUUGAUAAGAGCACUAACUUGU
rnacentral:rRNA from 1 species